UUUAUUUAUCACGGAGUGAUUUGCGUCACGCAGUUUACUGUGACGGGGUUUCCACACCUCGCUCCAUUUGUAAUACUGAAGCCAGUGUGUAUAGGUUGAACCGUCAAGACGUUGUCAGUGUUAGAUUAUGUAAACUUGGACAGAUAUUUUACAGAAAAAGAAUAAACCAAAUGUCUACCGCCACCCUGAUCGAUAUUGACCUCACCAGUGAAAUGGCGGCCCCUCCUGCUUGGACACCCGGCAGAUUCCUCACCAGCGGGGAUGCGACCGUGAUUGACGUGAACUCUCCAGUGUAUGACCCGGUCAAAGGUCAAAGAUCAAAUAUAUUUGGAGGAACGGGUCUCAUGUCCCAAGAUUUGUCCUACGUGUCCAAACCAGGCCUAGACAAGUGCACAUCCCUGCCCCGAGGUACGACAUACCUCAUAAUGGCAUGUUGUGUCUUGGCAUCCUUUAGCCUAGGGCUGCUGGCUUACAUACACCUCUAGUGAGCUGGGCGAUAAACACGGAUUACUCAUUAUGACAAUGGCGCGGAAGUCACGCUGUCAUCACUGAAUACGCCAAGGGACAUAACUGCGUCGGUUCCUAAACGUGACCAGCGAAGACAGACACGAGAUCUGCCCCUUAACAAUUGGUGCAAUACAUGGAUCUACAUGGAACUAUAAAUGGCAUGGGGAACCGUGUGGAUACCGUGCGAUAACCCUAUACAAUAUUAAAACAAUACGGUUCAUGUUAUUUAUUAUCAAUAAGUCGUAUUUUUGAGUCAGUAAAAGUCUUAUUUAAUCAAAGCGAAUGCGAAGUCUACCCACGUCUGAUCUCGAAGGUGCUAUUCUCUGUUACAGAACCGUCAAUCUCAUUUUUGUACAUUUACCUGCAUUCAUUGCCAAAUGAGAUUGGCAUUUAUUUGAAUAUAUUGUUAAUAAAUAUUGUUUCUUAAA